UACAAUCUUUAUUAACCCAUGUUAAAAAGAUAAAAGCUCCGGCGGUGUAAAAUGAGCGUGCGUCCUAUUAGCUAGUUGGUGAGGUAAUAGCUCACCAAGGCUACGAUGGGUAGGGGUUCUUAGUGGAAGAUCCCCCACACUGGCACUGAGAUACGGGCCAGACUCCUACGGGAGGCAGCAGUAGGGAAUAUUGGUCAAUGGGCGCAAGCCUGAACCAGCCAUGCCGCGUGCAGGAUGAAAGCUCUCUGAGUUGUAAACUGCUUUUGUACAGGAGCAAAACAAUCCCUGCGGGGAUUCUUGAGAGUACUGUAAGAAUAAGCACCGGCUAAUUCCGUGCCAGCAGCCGCGGUAAUACGGAAGGUGCAAGCGUUAUCCGGUUUUAUUGGGUUUAAAGGGUGCGUAGGCGGCUUAUUAAGUCAGUUGUGAAAUCCUAGUGCUUAACGCUAGAACUGCAAUUGAUACUAUUAGGCUUGAGUUAAGAAUAGGUAAGUAGAAUUUAUGGUGUAGUAGUGAAAUGCUUAGAUAUCAUAAGGAAUACCAAUAGCGUAGGCAGCUUACUGGUCUUUAACUGACGCUGAGGCACGAAAGCGUGGGGAGCAAACAGGAUUAGAUACCCUGGUAGUCCACGCCGUAAACGAUGAUCACUCGGUAUACAUAAAUCUUAUGUGUGCCUAAGCGAAAGCGUUAAGUGAUCCACCUGGGGAGUAUACUCGCAAGGGUGAAACUCAAAGGAAUUGACGGGGGUCCGCACAAGCGGUGGAGUAUGUGGUUUAAUUCGAUAAUACGCGAGGAACCUUACCUGGGCUAGAAUGUAUUUUGCUACUUUGAA
rnacentral:rRNA from 1 species